rnacentral:rRNA from 1 species
UGGGGGAUAUUGCACAAUGGGGGGAACCCGUGAUGCAGCGACGCCGCGUGGGUGAAGAAGCGCCUCGGCGCGUAAAGCCCUGUCAGCAGGGAAGAAAAUGACGGUACCUGAAGAAGAAGCCCCGGCUAACUACGU